AUACGUAGGGGGCGAGCGUUGUCCGGAAUGAUUGGGCGUAAAGGGCGCGUAGGCGGCGCGGUAAGUCUGGAGUGAAAGUCCUGUUUUUAAGAUGGGAAUUGCUUUGGAUACUGUCGGGCUUGAGUGCAGGAGAGGUAAGUGGAAUUCCCAGUGUAGCGGUGAAAUGCGUAGAGAUUGGGAGGAACACCAGUGGCGAAGGCGACUUACUGGACUGUAACUGACGCUGAGGCGCGAAAGUGUGGGGAGCAAACAGGAUUAGAUACCCUGGUAGUCCACACUGUAAACGAUGAAUGCUAGGUGUAGGGGGUAUCGACCCCUUCUGUGCCGCAGUCAACACAAUAAGCAUUCCGCCUGGGGAGUACGGCCGCAAGGUUGAAACUCAAAGGAAUUGACGGGG
rnacentral:rRNA from 1 species